rnacentral:rRNA from 1 species
AUUGAACGCUGGCGGCAUGCUUUACACAUGCAAGUCGGACGGCAGCGGGGGUGCUUGCACCUGCCGGCGAGUGGCGAACGGGUGAGUAACAUAUUGGAAUGUACCGAGUAGUGGGGGAUAACCAAUCGAAAGAUUGGCUAAUACCGCAUACGUCCUGAGGGGGAAAGCAGGGGAUCUUCGGACCUUGCGCUAUUUGAGCAGCCAAUAUCUGAUUAGCUAGUUGGUGGGGUAAAGGCCCACCAAGGCGACGAUCAGUAGCGGGUCUGAGAGGAUGAUCCGCCACACUGGGACUGAGACACGGCCCAGACUCCUACGGGAGGCAGCAGUGGGGAAUUUUGGACAAUGGGGGCAACCCUGAUCCAGCCAUGCCGCGUGUCUGAAGAAGGCCUUCGGGUUGUAAAGGACUUUUGUUAGGGAAGAAAAGGGAAGUGCUAAUACCACUUUUUGCUGACGGUACCUAAAGAAUAAGCACCGGCUAACUACGUGCCAGCAGCUGCGGUAAUACGUAGGGUGCGAGCGUUAAUCGGAAUUACUGGGCGUAAAGCGAGCGCAGACGGUUACUUAAGCAGGAUGUGAAAUCCCCGGGCUCAACCUGGGAACUGCGUUCUGAACUGGGUAGCUAGAGUAUGUCAGAGGGGGGUAGAAUUCCACGUGUAGCAGUGAAAUGCGUAGAGAUGUGGAGGAAUACCGAUGGCGAAGGCAGCCCCCUGGAUAAUACUGACGUUCAUGCUCGAAAGCGUGGGUAGCAAACAGG